rnacentral:rRNA from 1 species
CAAAUUGAGAGUUUGAUCCUGGCUCAGGACGAACGCUGGCGGCGUGCCUAAUACAUGCAAGUCGAGCGAGCUGAAUUCAAAGAUCCCUUCGGGGUGAUUUGUUGGACGCUAGCGGCGGAUGGGUGAGUAACACGUGGGCAAUCUGCCCUAAAGACUGGGAUACCACUUGGAAACAGGUGCUAAUACCGGAUAACAACAUGAAUCGCAUGAUUCAAGUUUGAAAGGCGGCGUAAGCUGUCACUUUAGGAUGAGCCCGCGGCGCAUUAGCUAGUUGGUGGGGUAAAGGCCUACCAAGGCAAUGAUGCGUAGCCGAGUUGAGAGACUGAUCGGCCACAUUGGGACUGAGACACGGCCCAAACUCCUACGGGAGGCAGCAGUAGGGAAUCUUCCACAAUGGACGCAAGUCUGAUGGAGCAACGCCGCGUGAGUGAAGAAGGUUUUCGGAUCGUAAAGCUCUGUUGUUGGUGAAGAAGGAUAGAGGCAGUAACUGGUCUUUAUUUGACGGUAAUCAACCAGAAAGUCACGGCUAACUACGUGCCAGCAGCCGCGGUAAUACGUAGGUGGCAAGCGUUGUCCGGAUUUAUUGGGCGUAAAGCGAGCGCAGGCGGAAUGAUAAGUCUGAUGUGAAAGCCCACGGCUCAACCGUGGAACUGCAUCGGAAACUGUCAUUCUUGAGUGCAGAAGAGGAGAGUGGAAUUCCAUGUGUAGCGGUGGAAUGCGUAGAUAUAUGGAAGAACACCAGUGGCGAAGGCGGCUCUCUGGUCUGCAACUGACGCUGAGGCUCGAAAGCAUGGGUAGCGAACAGGAUUAGAUACCCUGGUAGUCCAUGCCGUAAACGAUGAGCGCUAGGUGUUGGGGACUUUCCGGUCCUCAGUGCCGCAGCAAACGCAUUAAGCGCUCCGCCUGGGGAGUACGACCGCAAGGUUGAAACUCAAAGGAAUUGACGGGGGCCCGCACAAGCGGUGGAGCAUGUGGUUUAAUUCGAAGCAACGCGAAGAACCUUACCAGGUCUUGACAUCCUGUGCUACACCUAGAGAUAGGUGGUUCCCUUCGGGGACGCAGAGACAGGUGGUGCAUGGCUGUCGUCAGCUCGUGUCGUGAGAUGUUGGGUUAAGUCCCGCAACGAGCGCAACCCUUGUCUUUAGUUGCCAUCAUUAAGUUGGGCACUCUAAAGAGACUGCCGGUGACAAACCGGAGGAAGGUGGGGAUGACGUCAAGUCAUCAUG